GAGGGUAUAGCUCAGUGGCAGAGUGCAUGCAUCACAUGCAUGAGGUCCUGGGUUCAAUCCCCAGUACCUCCA
rnacentral:tRNA from 1 species